rnacentral:lncRNA from 1 species
GAAAUAAAUUCCAAAAAAUUAGCAAACUGAAUACUAUACAAUUUAAUGAUAGAGUAUGUUCCAACAGUUAAUGAUAUUUCUAAUUUUCAUUAUAUGGAAAAAUGUUGCCUGUGUACAUUUAAAAAAGAGACUAAAGGCUAAAUAGUCUUAAUGUUUUGGGAAUAGCACAAAAUGAAUGAACAUGCUUACAAGCAUGAGUUUUGAGGCCAAAUAAUAUAGGGAGCAACAAAACAAAAAUGACAUUCCUAUCUUUAUUACUUUUGUUAUCCUAUCUAUAUUUUUACGAUGUCAAAGAUUAUCUAAUAGAAAUAUUGUAUGGAAAUGAAAAAAAGACUGACCAGGAAAUGAAAACAGAAAACCAAAAAUAAAUCUCUGUCCCCAGCCAUUGUGAGAGGGGACAAGGAAGGAAGAUAUUCAGAUGACAAUAACAGUACUUCCAAUCACUUAGUAUAAACACAGUGCUCCAACUGCAGAGCAGCAGCCUGAGGUAGUGAGGACAGAGUCACUUACAUGUUCUCAGAUGAAAAGUUAAAUACAACUUUGCUUAACUCAUACAUAAAAGUCACUUUCUUUACCCCUUACCAUUCUCCCAGUGGUUAGAAUUUAGAACAAGUUCUAAAUCUGUCUCUAAUUAGCUUAUGUUUUGAAGAAUGAGUAUAAAUGGCAUUAGUGUACAUUACAACACAGCCUUGAAAUGAUACCCCCAACAACCCCAUUCCCAGCAUUACCCCAUGCUGCAGUACCAACAAACAAGGUCCCCUUAUUUGCAUAAUAUAUGAACUUUGGUUUGUACAUGUUUAUGGAACAUGGGUGGAGAUUUUUUAAAUACUGUUUGCAAGAUUGGAGAAAGACUCAAGUGUCCCCAUCUUUGGAUGUGUCUGUGAAAGAAGGCUGCUGAAAUAACUGAGUUUGAAUAGAGAGUCCAUGAAGGAAAUUGGUGUUAUCCCUGACAGCUUAUCUUUAAGCCCAAGGCUUUCCUCUAAUUGUCUGUUGUUGAUGUUGCUGUUGUGGUUAAAUAUAACCCCAAGGAACUUGGGAGCAUGCCCUUGGGUGGCAUGGCAAGAGGACGAUGGUAGCUUUCUGUUUACUAUCCAGGCUGUUUGCCUCUCCCUGGAACACAGCUAUAAAUGAUUUUCUAAGUCCACUUAAGCUUUAAAUCAAGAACUACACUCUCCCUCUAGAGCCUAGCUGUGCCUGUAGGGUCAUUCAUUCUUAAGGAAUAAAAUAGGUGAAAGAGAUGCCUGGCCACAAUUUUCAAAGCCUUGGUCUGCCAGGUUAGUUUGCAAUGGAGUCAACAAAACCAUCAUAUGGAUAAAGUACUGUGAAAUUAGAUGAAAAGAAAUAGUCCCUGAAACACAGAAGAGAUCCGCUCGUACUUAAAACAUCCAACACCAUGCCCCUAGCAUAUGUUCAUCCAUCUGUGUAAAUAACCCACCUUGUAUACAGUAAUGCUGCUCCAGAACUCAGUGUCCAUUCACUUAGCUGUGUCACCAGAGCAGCAAGAAUCAAGACUCCAUAAAAAUCGAUCAAAUGUUAAUUAUAAACUAAGAUGAUUUGGUAUUAGAAAGAUCAGAGCUUGGUACAUGGAAGCUGCCAUAUUGUGGCUACUGACUAUUAUUUGGGGAGGGGGAAACUCUGGGUUUGAUAACCUUUCAUUACUCCUGAACUUCUAAGAGUUCUUUUGACAUGAAUGCUGUCCAAGUCUACUACAUUUUCUCAAGCUAAAUAGAUUAUAAUCAGUUCAAUAGGGUUUAAUGUAUACAUAUUUGUGACAUGAAUAUCAGAAUAUAAUCAAUCAAACACACAGGGAGACUGAUAAGAGUGUGGAGGGGGAUGGGAAGGUUUAGAAACCAUAGGAGGACAUCAAGCAUCCUGCUCUAUCACACUUCACCCUAUUCCUUUGAGGGAGUACUUCUAUCCGAGGCUGGAGAAAGGCUUGCUGGCAGCAAGCCUCAAUGCUGCUUCUGUGAUCCACAGUGUUUCACAGUGCUGGGGUAGCAGCUGUAUGUGCAGCCACCCCGAAAGAGGUCUUACUCUACUCGGAUGCUCAGAACUGAACUCAGUUCCUUAUGCUUGUAUAGUAAGUGUUAUUACCCAACUGGAUGUCUCUCCAGACUCCAGCCAAGAACAUUUAAGAAACAAAUUAUAAUUUGCCCUGGUCUGUAAUUAGAGGUCUCUAAUCACAGCUACAACAGGGGCCAGAGGCAAGAGAUUCAGAAGUUGGGCUGCCUGGGCCCCUUAGUGAAAGCAUGUCUUAAAAUAGAAACAUUACAAAAUGUGCUGGAACACUUGCCUGGCAUAUGUGGGGUUCUAGAUUCAGUCACCAGUAUUGUAAAACUAAACUAAGAUUAUAAACUAAAAUGAAACUGGAGUAUGUAAUCUCCUUCUAGAGAUUAUAGGUCAUAGAGCUGAAUCGAUGGCUCAAUGGUUUGGAGUACCUGUUACUCUUUUGGGAGUAGGGUAGUUCACUUCCCAACACCUACACAGCAACUCGAAACCAUCCAUAAACCCAGUUCUAGGGGACUCAACACCAGUUUCUGACCAGGUGUACACAUGGCACACAUACACACGCAGGCAAAACAUUUGUACACAUAAAAUGAAGAAAAUGAGAGAGAGGAUAGUCUAGGUCAAAAGCCCACAGCCUACUGUUUACUCCAUAGCAGAUUAUCCAUGAAUCUGGAAAUCGGUGGCGCCAUGAGAUUUGGAUGCAUGAAAACCACAUGCAGUUUACUGGGGAGUGGCAAACCACAUCAUGAAAGUUACAGAGCAUCAGCUUGGUGAUGUAUCAUCUGCUGAGUCAGGCAAGAUGACUGAGCAGCUCCCCACCCCCAGUCAGGCAAGAUGACUGAGCAGCUCCCCACCCCCAGUCAGGCAUUGCUGUAGUUAUGGGAAAUCAUCAGGAAGAAAAGCACACAGCCCCAUUGUCAUGGGAUUUUUAUUCUAACUUAGGGGAAAGAAAACAAAAAUAAUUAAGUAAACAAGUAAAUGUGUGGUGCCCCCUUGACCAAAACGACAUGAAUUGGGAGAAGGACAGAGAACACUGGGCAGAUGGAGGUUGCUGGUGUUUUUGUGGUCCUUUCUAAUCAAGUGCCAAUGAUGCAAAGAUGGCAAGCUAAAUGCAUCUUAGGCAGAGGAAACACAGUACCCAGGCCCUUCAGAGGUUGCACGCUUGGGAGUUUUGAAGAAAGGAGUGGGCAUAAGCAUUGAGCAGAUUGGGUGAGGAAAUAAUGGAAAAAUAAGUGAUCGGACUGGGCGUUGGUGGUGCAUGCCUUUAAUCCCAGAACUUGGGAGGCAGAGGCAGGUGGAUCUCUGUGAGUUUGAGACCAGCCUGGUUUACAGAGCAAGUUCCAGGACAGCCUCCAAAGCCACAGAGAAACCCUGUCUCCAAAAACCAAAAUAAUAAAUAAAUAAUAAUAAUAAUAAUAAUAAUAAGUGAUUGCAGAGUGGAAUGGAGAGGAGAGAGAGAGAGAGAGAGAGAGAGAGAGAGAGAGAGAG